rnacentral:lncRNA from 1 species
GUACAAAUAAAACCAGCCUCAAAUUGCUCCCGCAGCUCUGGAAGACAUAUGGGCCCCACAAAGUGGCCUGAAGAAAAGAGCAAGAUGAGAAAACUGAGAAUCAAGGAGACACACAGCUGGAUAAUGGCAGAGCAUGAAUGUAACAGAACAUGGAGUCUCGGAGUUGUGACGUCCAUUGCCAGCAAAGGUUCAGACAAAGGAGCAGGAGGACACACCGUAUGGUCUCAGGCUGCCAACUUAAUCCAAUCGCUAAGUGGGAACCACUGAAUCCUCCUUUAUAAACACCUUGCAUAUUCCCUGUUGCAACUAAGAGAUGACACUAAAGGUACAUGCAAGGUGAGGAAUCUGCUGUCACUUGAAUGGUUUUCUGCUGGAGAUGGAGUCUCACUGUGUUGCCCAGGCUGGAGUGCAGUGG